CUUAAUGUCACCUUGAGUAUGCCUCUCUCUAUUGUUGCCCCAGAGAUCUAAGAAAUGAAUGAACAGGGUCUUGGGUUGAGCAGCUUCAAUCUGUGCCAGGAAGGGAGAUGGAAGGGGGAUCUGAGCCUAGAGAAUUGGCACCUAUCAAGAUGCAAAGCCCAGUCCAGCACUCAGUCAUUGUGGGGCCCAUCCAGAGUUGUCUCUGUGCUGUGAAGUGGUAACAGGAUGAAUUGAUAUGGGGCACUGGGAAAAGGGAGGUGCCUCCUAUCCACAUGCAGGCAUAGUACAUGCACAUGCUGCGCCACAGGAAGUCCAUGGAAGCAUGCGGGAAAGGGGUGCACAGAGGAGGUUAUGUUGUAAAACUGACCUGAGAUGUGGAAGAGGGGUAGGUAGCCAGCACAGAGGGCACUACCUAGAAAGGAACGUAUCCUGGGCCCUACUUCUAGAGGCACAGCCCUAGGAAGGCUAGGAGGGCACCUCACUAGCCAACUCAGCUGGGCUUUGGGUUGCUGGUUAAUCUGUCUCUGGAGCCCCACCCUGAGGCACUCCCAUCUUGCAAGGAGGUGGACAAGGAGAGACCUGUCACCCAAACGCUGGGAUAGGUAAGAAGGGGUGGAGUGGCCACAUCUAAGAGUGACUCUCACAAGCAAAGCCUCCAGCCUUGAGCCAGCCAGGCCCAUUUGGGGAACCCUAAGUAGGUCAAAAAGUCUAGGACUUCUGCAGUAUGCAAGGUGGCAGGAUGAUAAGGACAGAACAGAGGCAGCAGCCACACCAGAUGGUCCUCAUGGCCUGGCUGGAACUGAGCCUGAUGGUAAGGGUGAGCUACAGAUGGUUGUAAGCAGGAGAGGGCAGGAUCUGAUUUAUGUGUAGUUUUCAGUACCUCUCAGGCUGCUAUGUGGAGAAUGAAACUAGAGGAGGUAUGGGGAGGGUGACAGUAAAUAAGAGACAGAGAAGUAGAAGGGUUAGGGAUGUGGAAGGAGAGUCAUCAGUCUGGUUAGGGACAAAAUGGUGGGGACAGGGGAGGGAUGUAGUAAGGGGAAGCCCUGCAGUGGCUAGUUUGGGAGUGGGUUCAGUAACCGGGUCUUGUCACAGCCAAGCUUUCUGAUCAGAGCUGUGCCUGAGGGAGUGUUGCAAAGCCAGGGCUUUGGCUGGGCUCCAGGUGGGUAGCCUGAACCAGCAGGUGGUGCCCUUGGAAUGCUGGCCUUACUGCUGACUCAGGUCAGAGGGCGCUCAAUGCCAGGUGCAGAGAGAAAGACUGCCCAAUCUGUGUCAAUGUUGCCUCUGAGGGUGGUCUCCAGUUUGUGUCCUCCCAUCCCUCCAGGACCAAGGUGCCUCUCUCUCACCAUUCUGGGCUCCCUUGACCUCAUGGUGUCCUGGCCUCAGGCACCCUCCCUGAGUCGGUGCUCACCCGGACCAGCCAGGACAAGUGUUGUGCUUCCAAGUAGUGUAGACAGGCUGUGACCUGCCUCCUGCUGUUUCAAAGCAGUGUUGUGCUGAUAAAUGUGUAGCAACUGGCUAUCCAGGAAAGGACCCGGAAGCAUUUGUAUUUAUGUUUGUAUGUUUGUGCCUGAGCUGUGACAGCAUCUGAUGAACAAAUGUAGUUCCCACAUAAAUGUUGGCUGAGAUUCUCAUUUAUCUUAAGGUGAAGGUGAAACAACGAGGCAGUAUGUUGGAGCAUCCUUACUCAUGGUGAUCAUAAUGUCAUGGUCACAGACAAGACAUUCUUCAGUUCGAUCUGUAUUAUUAACAUUUUCCCCAUCAUUUGCUAAGUCUAGGCAAUUAAAAAAAGCAGAAAUAAAUUGCUGAAGGUGGACUUGGCAAGAGAUUUUACAUAACAUGCUAGACCAUCCACUUCCACCAUGCAGAUCUUCUAGAUGAACAGCAACACAUAGAAAAACAUGGUCAAAUAAGAUGUGAUGGUGGGCUGGAGUUGUGGCUCAGUGACAGACCACUUGCUUGCACAUGUGAGGCACUGGGUUUGAUCCUCAGCACCACAUAAAAAUAAAUAAACAAAAUAAGGAUAUUGUGCCCAUGUAUAACUAAAAAGUAUUUUCAAAAAGAUGUGGUUGGUUUUGAGUAUCAUCUUUCUUUUUAAUAAAGAAAGAUGGAAGGUGUUCUCGCUACAUACAACAGUUUGGAUGAGUCUCAGAGCAAUAUGUUGAGUGAAAGGAGCUGUGGUGUGUCCUAAGAGCCAACUCCAGAGCUCCAGCUUGUCCCUGGCCUACCACCUGCCCCUUGCCAAG
rnacentral:lncRNA from 1 species